UACGGGGGGGGCAAGCGUUGUUCGGAAUUACUGGGCGUAAAGGGCUCGUAGGUGGCCAACUAAGUCGGACGUGAAAUCCCUCAGCUUAACUGGGGAACUGCGUCCGAUACUGGAUGGCUCGAGUUUGGGAGAGGGAUGCGGAAUUCCAGGUGUAGCGGUGAAAUGCGUAGAUAUCUGGAGGAACACCGGUGGCGAAGGCGGCAUCCUGGACCAAUAUUGACGCUGAGGAGCGAAAGCUAGGGGAGCAAACGGG
rnacentral:rRNA from 1 species